rnacentral:ncRNA from 1 species
AACCUAGCCAGUGAUGGUUAAUUAAGUAUAUCAGGAGUCAGCCGAGGCCAUAGUAGCUCACCAUAUAGCGAGCAAAGGA